ACACACACACACCGGCUGGCUCGACGCACACACCAGCGGAGAAGUAUAAACAAACAUCAGCUGCGUGGAGCGCCUUAUUUAGGUGUCACUUAAAUGCCUGCGCUUCUCUCUGAUGAUCCGAAAACGGACGUUAGAGGGAACUGAAACAUCGCCGCACGGGAGGCUAGUUAACAAACACUUGGCAUUGGCGUUAGCUAGUUAGCGCUACACCUGACAGCAGGGGAGGGGGACAAAAAAAUGUCUGAUCAGGUUCAGGCUGCAUGAAGGUGCGCUCCAUCGGAACAGCUGUGGAACCCCACGCAGCCCAUUGAAUGGACAGGAUGCAGUACAGCCAUAGUGUAUUUUCCAGUCGGCUGUCUCACACAUGCAUGAGAGAAAAGGUGUACAUCCAUCCAUUACAUAUGCACCUAUAAGACGGGUAAAGUCAUGGCGUGAUCCUUCUUUCCUCUGAACAGCUUCUUCUCAACCAGAGCAUCCACAACGAGCUGUCUGGCAUCAAAACGCUUCACUCCCUUAAAAGGAGACAAAAGACUCACACAAUUAUACCAGCCGGGAUGAAGAUACAUCAAACCUGCUUCCUCUAUCACUGAGCUUAGGCCCAACAGGGUUUUACAAGGCCCUGGAUGUUGUCGACUGCAACCUGACAUAUCCAGCAUACCAGCUGACAUAUCCAGAUGGAUCAUAUCUCCACAACACCUCACAUUGUAAUACAGUUUCCAGAUAAUAACAGAGGCGUUCACGCACCUGCAGCCACUGUCCACAGGAGGGCGUCAUGGUCCCGUCUCCUCCAAUCACAGUAAGGCGUGGCAGUGAGUGUCUCUGUGACAGCAGGAAGUCAGUGUGGUCAUGAGCGGGGGUCACCUUCACUGCACCUGCAGAACACACAGCCAGGGCCCGCAUCAACACCAGCAGCUCACACAAUGUGACAGCAGUGUGUCCACAGGGGACAACAUGAAGGCAACACAUUCUCUCUGCAAUAAGCAAGCUGAAAGGCUUUGGGUGUUCACCAGUUCCUAGCUCCAUGUCCACCAUGGAGUCAGCGAUGAUGGGCAGGAGUCUGUCGGUGAAGGGGUGUCUGCACUGCUUCCCAUGAACAGCCUGAAACAAAGGGGACAGAGUGGAAAG